CUAAAUAAUAAUUAAAAAAAAAAAGGUACCAUGACACUAGUACAUGGAACAAAUAAAAGUAAUUUGGGGGCUCAAAACCAUGUGGCCCAGGCAAACAGCACAUAAUUAAGACAAGAACAUGUUUUCCAGUAGGGAGAUGAAGAAGAGAGUGUUCAGCUUUCAAGCACCUUUCACAAAGCUCAUCCAAGCGGUAUCAGGAUUCCUCAUUCUUUAGGUAUAUAUUUCCAUAUUCAGGCUAGCUGCUUCCAAAAACAGCAAGGAUUGUGAAGACUUUGUCUUUGCUGUGUGUUUAAAAUAAAAUAUGACAUUGUACCUGCAGAUGGAAAUUAUUUUGGUUCCUGCCAUCACUAACUAAGCCAGAGCCCAGCCAAUUUGUUUUAAAUUUCCCACCACUGGGAAGACACAGGCUCCAGAGAAGUGGAAGUGGAGAGGCUACUGGAGUUACACGGACAGGAGCAAAGCAAAUAACGUACACUCCGGCUUCAAAGUCCAUGAGGAUGAGGAGACCCUGAAGAUGGCACUACAACAGCAGAAAAUACCAGUAUCUACAACCCAUGCAAACAAAAGUUCUUCGGUAUUGUAAGUUUUAAAAAUUUAGGAUGUGAGGACGAUCUAGCUGCGACAUCUGUCGCCCAUUGAUCACCAGGAUUGAUCAGGCUGCUCUGGCUGGCUAGGUGGGUGCCCCCUUCCCUGCAUGCUCCAUGCGCCCAUGUGCGUCCCUCCGGAAGCUGUGCGCUAAAAGGAUGACCCACCCCGAAUAGAGGAGGACCCUCCCCUCGCUCAAGAGUGUAUGAGUAGCUGCGCUCCGCUGCUAGAAUCUGCAAACAAGAGCUCAGGUUUUAAAAGUCUAAAAGGAUCCUGGGACCCAUGAGUGAUGUUGCUAAGUAUUUCUUAAUUAUUCUCCAAAUGAUUGCAUCAGUCUAAGCUCUGACUUGCGGUGUCGGAAAAUGCCGGCUCCUCACAACCUUGUCAGCGUUUUAGAAUUGUUCCAGACUUGCACUUUGUUUACAUCCAAUAGGUCCCAAAAUGGUGUUGAUCUGAUUUGUAUUUCUGUGAUUGCUAGUAAGAUCAUGAAAUUUUCACAUAUUUAUUGGCUUUACAAGUUUUCUUUUCCUUGAAAUUCCUGCUUAAAUUUUUACAUUUUUACCUAAGAAUGGGAACAUUUUUUACAUUUUUACCUAAGAAUGGAAACAUCUUCUAAAUGUAUGUAUGACUACACAUCUUAUCUCCUAUAUAUUUCUCUAAUAAGUUAUUGUCUUUUUGCAUCCAUUUUUAGGGAUUGUACAUAUUCCAUGUUGCUUUCUCUUCUUUACUUUUUAAUUUUGAGGGGAGGGGUAUAACUUAUCUGAGAUAAAAUUUACAUAUUGCAAA